AACGUAGGAGACAAACGUUAUCCGGAGUUACUGGGCGUAAAGGGCGUGUAGGUGGUUUCGUAAGUCUGGCGUGAAAUUUUUCGGCUUAACCGGGAAAGGUCGUCGGAUACUGCAGAACUAGAGGACGGUAGAGGCGUGUGGAAUCCGGGUGUAGUGGUGAAAUGCGUAGAGAUCCGGAGGAACACCAGUGGCGAAGGCGACACGCUGGGCCGUACCUGACACUGGUGCGCGACAGCAUGGGGAGCAAACAGG
rnacentral:rRNA from 1 species